CGUGAUGUAUUAUUGUAAUUUGAAUACGAUAUGCGUAUCUUUAAGUAUUUACGUAAUUUAUUUAAUUUAGAUAUUAUUUAAAUUAUUUUGAUACUUAUGUAAUCCAAAGACGAGUCUAAGAAGGGAAGGCAUAUGAAUAAGGUGGAUGGAGAUCCAUGAAGAGUCCAAGAAGAUGCCCAAUCAAGAUGCUUAGUUCUUAGGAUUAGGGGCCAUAUUAGAUCAUAUUUAAUUAUGCAUUUUAUUAUUAUUAUGCUUAUAAGUUUAUUGUAUGGUUAUUAUCAAUGCGUUAGAGUUCACUAAUUCAUAACAACAUAAUAAACCUAGGUCCCGCAAAUAUUAAGGUUAGUUUUUCCAAACAUAAUAUACUUAAUAACCCUUAAUUAAUAGUAAUAGAUCAUGCCUCCGCAAGGUAUUAUCAUUACUUUUGUGAGAUAAGGUGAAAUCGCAAAUUUUGCAACUUAGUUUGGUUAUCCUUAACAAAAUCAUCAAAAGCGUUUUGAAUUUUAAAGCAAGAGAUAGUUAAGCAUGCGAUAUUUACCAAUCUAAACAAGGAUUAGAAAGGGUUAUAAUUAGUAAAAGAGUUUACAUACCUUGAAAAUGCAACGUUAUAAAAAGGCCUACGUCUGCUUAGUGUUGCAUGUUGAUAGGAUCCUGUAUUCACUUAUUCAAAAGGGAUGUAAAAGAAUUGAAUAGGUGGCACACCUAGAAACUUUUUCAUGUUUUUAGGUUGUUUUAUAAACAUAAAAUUCAACUUUGCUGUUAUUUUAUAUUUGUAGAUACCAUGACUAAUAACAACAACUCUGUUUUCAACAUCGUACUGAGGUCUGAGGGUCGAGAGGAUAUCUUAGAAACCCCACUUUCGAUGAUUACUGAUGAAUCAAUCUAAGUAUACAAACAUCGUGCUAAGCAAGCCAAUGAUAGGUUUGUACCAAUCACUUGCCUGAUAAUAGCAUGAAACGACAUGGAUUCCCUUACAGUGUAGAGUUGGCUAUUGAUAUCAUUCUCCAUUCAUUGCCUUUAAACUUAAAUCAGUUCAAGAUGACCUUCAACAUGAAUGCAUUUGAAAAGACUUUGCAAGAGCUGCAUGGGUUAUUGGUCAAUGUUGAGAGGAAUAUCCCUAAGGAACCAAAAAAAGUGAUUUUGAUGUUUUAAAAGGGAAAGGGUUUAAAGAAAAAAUGGGCAAGAAAGAAGGACAAAGGCAAGCAGGUUACUAUUAUUGUUGAAAAAUCCAAGCCAACUGCCAAACAAAAGGUCGCCGCGAAAAGCAAGUGCUUCCAUUGUCACAAGAUAGGACACUAGAAUAGGAACUUCCCUAUAUACUUGGAAGAAAAGAAGUCGGGUGCUUCCACUUUAGGUACUAAGAAGAAGUAGGAGGUUGGCAAAGGGCGAGGUAGUGCUUCGCAUUGGAAAUGGAGCACGGGUUGCUGCACUUGCCGUAGGAAGCUAUAGUCUCCAUUUACCAUCUGGCUUUCUUUUAUAACUCAAUAAUGGUUUUGUAAAACUCUAAUGUUGUCAAACAUCAUGCGGUAAAAGGGGACUAUAAAGGCAGCAUCCGGGUUGUGCUAAAA